rfam:Jannaschia rubra strain CECT 5088 genome assembly, contig: 0009
UGCGGGAUGGAGCAGUCCGGUAGCUCGUCAGGCUCAUAACCUGAAGGUCGUAGGUUCAAAUCCUACUCCCGCAA